ensembl:lncRNA
GGCAGUCUUGUCCAUCCAAGGUGGCUGAGAGCAUUAGGCAGCUAAGCGCUGCAGAUCUCUCAAGGAAAGCUACUCAGUUUAGUAUUGUCCUUUAGAGAUUGGUGUGCACUAUACUGCUGCUGUCUUGUCAUAUGCUGUUUUGUUUGUUAUGCACGUGAGGUGGAAUCCCCUCCCCGAUGCAUGUGAGUGUACACACCGGGCAUAGGUAGAUUGCACCAUUUAGAGUUUAGUGUGAGUGAGGUCUGCAGUGAAAUCACACGGGUGAGUAAUUGGUGGCACCCUUGGGCACUCCUCCCUGUAGGUUGCCUUCUCAAGUGGCCAGUCUCCACCAUUUUGUUUAGAUAAGAUAAGAUAAGAUAACCUUUAUUAGUCCCACACGUGGGAAAUUUGUUUUGUCACAGCAGGAAGUGGACAGUGCAAAAGUUAUGAAGCAAAAAUUAGAAUAAAAUAAGAAUAAAUACAGUACACAGCUGUACAGAAUAGAAUAAAAUACUAUAUACAGUAGAAUAAAAUAGAAUAAAAUAUACAAUGAGAUAAAAAUAGAGUACAAAUGCUAUAUACAAUUGAGUAAAAAUACAACGAUGCCAGAAAAGAUUAUUGCACAUUAGUGUUAUUGCACAUGUGUGGGUUUGUGUGUUUGAUCAGUUAAAGUCUUUAUUGUGGAGUCUGACAGCAGUGGGGAGGAAAGACCUGCGAAAUCUCUCCGUCCCACACCGUGGGUGCCGCAGCCUGCCACUGAAGGAGUUGCUCAGUGCUGUCACAGUCUCAUGCAUGGGGUGGGAGAUGUUGUCCAACAGGGAUGACAGCUUAGCCACCAUUCUGCUGUCACUCACCACCUCCACUGGGUCCAGAGGGCAUCCUAGAACAGAGCUGGCCCUUCUGAUCAGCCUGUUCAGUCUCUUCCUGUCCCCAGCAGAGAUGCUGCCUCCCCAGCAGACCGCACCAUAAAAGAUGGCUGAGGCCACCACAGAGUCAUAGAAGGUCUUCAGGAGUGGGCCCUCCACUCCAAACGACCUGAGUCUCCGCAGCAGGUACAGCCUGCUCUGCCCUUUCCUGUAGAGGGCGUCUGAAUUAUGAGUCCAGUCCAGUUUGUUGUUCAGAUGAACACCAAGGUAGCUGUAGUUAUUCUUUUAUCAUGUUGUGAUUGUUUUUAGGGUAGCAUCGUGGUAGGGAGUCUGGUUGUUUUAAUCAUCG